rnacentral:rRNA from 1 species
UACGUAGGUGGCAAGCGUUGUCCGGAUUUACUGGGCGUAAAGAGCGCGCAGGCGGCUGGUCAAGUCCGAUGUGAAAUCUCCCGGCUCAACUGGGAAACUGCAUCGGAAACUGAUCGGCUUGAAGGUGGGAGAGGGUAGUGGAAUUCCCGGUGUAGUGGUGAAAUGCGUAGAUAUCCAGCGGAACUCCGGUGGCGAAGGCGAGGUGCUGGACCCCGACUGACGCUGAGGCGCGAAAGCCAGGGGAGCGAACGGG